AUCAAAAACAUUUCUAUUUGUAAGGUAUAAAAAGUAAAUCCUGCCCACUGAUAUAGUAUUUAAAGGCUGCGGUAUUUUGACUGUACAAAGGUAGCAUAAUAAUUAGGUUUUUAAUUAAAAUCUUGAAUGAAUGGAAUAACAAAAUAAAAACUGUCUCUUUUUCUUUUUGAACUUAACUUUUAAGUUAAAAGGCUUAAAUAAAAUAAAAAGACGAUAAGACCCUAUAAAACUUUAUUUUUGAAUUAAUUAUAUACAUUUAUUUAGAUUAAAGAUAUAAUUAUAUUUUAAAUAUUGAAUUGGGGAGUAUAAAAUUUAAUUUAUAGUAAUUUUAAAAUAAUAAUUUCAUAAAUAAAUGAUUAGUUAAAGAUCCUUUAUUAUAGAUUUAAAACUAAGUUACUUUAGGGAUAACAGCGUUAUUUUUUUUAAGAGUUCUUAUCGAAGAAAUUAGUUGCGACCUCGAUGUUGAAUUAAAUGGUUAUAUAAAGUAUAAAUUAUAUGAAAUAGGUCUGUUCGACCUUUAAAUGUUUACGUGAU
rnacentral:rRNA from 1 species